rnacentral:rRNA from 2 species
CUAUACAUGCAGUCGACGAACUCUGGUAUUGAUUGGUGCUUGCAUCAUGAUUUACAUUUGAGUGAGUGGCGAACUGGUGAGUAACACGUGGGAAACCUGCCCAGAAGCGGGGGAUAACACCUGGAAACAGAUGCUAAUACCGCAUAACAACUUGGACCGCAUGGUCCGAGCUUGAAAGAUGGCUUCGGCUAUCACUUUUGGAUGGUCCCGCGGCGUAUUAGCUAGAUGGUGGGGUAACGGCUCACCAUGGCAAUGAUACGUAGCCGACCUGAGAGGGUAAUCGGCCACAUUGGGACUGAGACACGGCCCAAACUCCUACGGGAGGCAGCAGUAGGGAAUCUUCCACAAUGGACGAAAGUCUGAUGGAGCAACGCCGCGUGAGUGAAGAAGGGUUUCGGCUCGUAAAACUCUGUUGUUAAAGAAGAACAUAUCUGAGAGUAACUGUUCAGGUAUUGACGGUAUUUAACCAGAAAGCCACGGCUAACUACGUGCCAGCAGCCGCGGUAAUACGUAGGUGGCAAGCGUUGUCCGGAUUUAUUGGGCGUAAAGCGAGCGCAGGCGGUUUUUUAAGUCUGAUGUGAAAGCCUUCGGCUCAACCGAAGAAGUGCAUCGGAAACUGGGAAACUUGAGUGCAGAAGAGGACAGUGGAACUCCAUGUGUAGCGGUGAAAUGCGUAGAUAUAUGGAAGAACACCAGUGGCGAAGGCGGCUGUCUGGUCUGUAACUGACGCUGAGGCUCGAAAGUAUGGGUAGCAAACAGGAUUAGAUACCCUGGUAGUCCAUACCGUAAACGAUGAAUGCUAAGUGUUGGAGGGUUUCCGCCCUUCAGUGCUGCAGCUAACGCAUUAAGCAUUCCGCCUGGGGAGUACGGCCGCAAGGCUGAAACUCAAAGGAAUUGACGGGGGCCCGCACAAGCGGUGGAGCAUGUGGUUUAAUUCGAAGCUACGCGAAGAACCUUACCAGGUCUUGACAUACUAUGCAAAUCUAAGAGAUUAGACGUUCCCUUCGGGGACAUGGAUACAGGUGGUGCAUGGUUGUCGUCAGCUCGUGUCGUGAGAUGUUGGGUUAAGUCCCGCAACGAGCGCAACCCUUAUUAUCAGUUGCCAGCAUUAAGUUGGGCACUCUGGUGAGACUGCCGGUGACAAACCGGAGGAAGGUGGGGAUGACGUCAAAUCAUCAUGCCCCUUAUGACCUGGGCUACACACGUGCUACAAUGGAUGGUACAACGAGUUGCGAACUCGCGAGAGUAAGCUAAUCUCUUAAAGCCAUUCUCAGUUCGGAUUGUAGGCUGCAACUCGCCUACAUGAAGUCGGAAUCGCUAGUAAUCGCGGAUCAGCAUGCCGCGGUGAAUACGUUCCCGGGCCUUGUACACACCGCCCGUCACACCAUGAGAGUUUGUAACACCCAAAGUCGGUGGGGUAACC